GGGGAAUUUUCCGCAAUGGGGGCAACCCUGACGGAGCAACGCCGCGUGGGGGAGGAAUGUCUGUGGAUUGUAAACCCCUUUUCUCAGGGAAGAAGAUCUGACGGUACCUGAGGAAUCAGCAUCGGCUAACUCCGUGCCAGCAGCCGCGGUAAGACGGAGGAUGCAAGCGUUAUCCGGAAUUAUUGGGCGUAAAGCGUCCGUAGGCGGUUUUUCAAGUCUGCCGUCAAAGACUGCAGCUUAACUGUGGGCGAGCGGUGGAAACUGAAGAACUGGAGUACGGUAGGGGUAGAGGGAAUUCCCAGUGUAGCGGUGAAAUGCGUAGAUAUUGGGAAGAACACCAGUGGCGAAGGCGCUCUACUGGGCCGUAACUGACGCUGAGGGACGAAAGCUAGGGGAGCGAAAGGGAUUAGAUACCCCCUUGUAGU
rnacentral:rRNA from 1 species